CGAAUGCUGACAUAAGUAACGAUAAAGCGGGUGAAAAGCCCGCUCGCCGGAAGACCAAGGGUUCCUGUCCAACGUUAAUCGGGGCAGGGUGAGUCGACCCCUAAGGCGAGGCCGAAAGGCGUAGUCGAUGGGAAACAGGUUAAUAUUCCUGUACUUGGUGUUACUGCGAAGGGGGGACGGAGAAGGCUAUGUUGGCCGGGCGACGGUUGUCCCGGUUUAAGCGUGUAGGCUGGUUUUCCAGGCAAAUCCGGAAAAUCAAGGCUGAGGCGUGAUGACGAGGCACUACGGUGCUGAAGCAACAAAUGCCCUGCUUCCAGGAAAAGCCUCUAAGCAUCAGGUAACAUCAAAUCGUACCCCAAACCGACACAGGUGGUCAGGUAGAGAAUACCAAGGCGCUUGAGAGAACUCGGGUGAAGGAACUAGGCAAAAUGGUGCCGUAACUUCGGGAGAAGGCACGCUGAUAUGUAGGUGAAGUCCCUCGCGGAUGGAGCUGAAAUCAGUCGAAGAUACCAGCUGGCUGCAACUGUUUAUUAAAAACACAGCACUGUGCAAACACGAAAGUGGACGUAUACGGUGUGACGCCUGCCCGGUGCCGGA
rnacentral:rRNA from 2 species